rnacentral:rRNA from 1 species
UACGUAGGGGGCGAGCGUUGUCCGGAAUCAUUGGGCGUAAAGCGCGUGUAGGCGGCUCGAUAAGUCCGGUGUGAAACCUUGGGGCUCAACCCCAAGCCUGCACUGGAUACUGCCGAGCUAGAGUCCGGGAGGGGAGAGCGGAAUUCCUAGUGUAGCGGUGAAAUGCGUAGAUAUCGGGAGGAACACCAGUGGCGAAGGCGACUUCCUGGCCUGUUCUUGACGCUGAGGCGCGAAAGCUAGGGUAGCAAACGGG